UCCGGCCUUUGCUUCUUUGCAUAAUCUCAGCUGAGAUUUAUAAUUUACUUGUGGGAUUCUCCCCUCUCAAACUAUAAGUUCUGUGAAGACAGAGAUGGUAUUUUUUUCUCCUCACUUUAUUUAUUUAUUUGAGACAGAGUCUCACUAUGUUGCCCAGGCUGGAGUGCAGAGGUGCAAUCUCGGCCCACUGCACGCUCCACCUCCUGAGUUCAAGUGAUUCUCCUGCUCAGCCUCCUGAGUAGCUGGGACUACAGAUAUGCACCACCAUGCCUGGCUAAUAUUUGUAUUUUUAGUAGAGACGGGGUUUUGCCAUGUUGGCCAGGCUGGUCUCAAACUCCUGACCUCAGGUAAUCCACCUGCCUCUGCCCCUCAAAGUGCUGGAAUUACAGUCACGAGCCACUGCGCCCGGCCUUCUCCUCACCUUUUUCUCCAGUGUCCACUCCAGCAUGCAGUAUUUGAUAAGCGCUCAGUAAAUGUUUGUUGAAUGACUUACUAACCUGAGCUUGUGUUAACUCUCUCACUGUAUUGAUUCUGAAAGGCAAAGAGGGCCCAAGGUCACAUGUAGGGAAGGGCCAAAGGCAGGACUGGAGCCCAGCAAUUCUUGUUCAACCACACGGAAUGGGAAGUAAAGUCCUCUUUGGCCAGCAGCAGAGGGGCCAGGUCCCCCUUGUCAUCAGCCUGGAAGACCCUAAAGGAUCAUCUAGGACAAUUCUUUCAUUCUUUGAAUGGGGCAUCUAAAACUGAAGAGUGGACAGGGAUUGUCUAGAGUCAUACGGUGAAGGUGAUCCGGAAGUUCCGCUAGAGAACACAGCAGAUUCUAUCCUGUAGAAACACAAUGGGUUCUACCCAGAUUGCCUGACACUCAAUAUUCUUUUUUAAUUAAACUAAAUUAAUUAACUACUUUUUGAGUGCAGUGUUGUGAUCUCAGCUCACUGCAACCUCCACCUCUCAGGUUCAAACAAUUCUCCUGCCUCAGCCUCCCGAGCUGCUGGGAUUACAGGUGUGUGCCACCACGCCCAGCUAAUUUUUGUAUUUUUAGUAGAGUCAGGGUUUCGUCGCGUUGGCCAGGCUGGUCUUGAACUCUUGGCCUCAAGCAAUCCACCUGCCUCAGCCUCCCAAAGGGCUGGGAUUUCAGGCGUGAGCCACUGAGAGGGGCUCUGACACUCAACAUUCUUUCCAGUAUCCCCAACUCUCCUGGAGGUGAAGGACUAAGGGGGUGGGGGCAUGGCUCUCAGACUCCAGACUGACAACCUAAUAUUGAGGCUGGGCUGGGAGUGGAACCGAGAUUUCCCAGCCUGAGGCCAAUGGAUGACAAGGGCCUUUCUUGUUCUCCUCCAGAGCCUCUUCUGGAGCCCCACUAGGGAAUUCCUGUCCUUGGAAAAGUGGGAGAGGACCAGAACAUUCUGGAAUAAAGACUGGAGACAUUCAGAGUGACGCAAGAAGUACAGUCCACAGUGGAGGAAAACUCCAGCUGCCAGGCAAUUGCCCGCUGGUCCCUGGCCUGGUCUAGGUGGUUGUGGGGGAAGGGGAGCUAACUGCAGUGACUCACUUAACCCUUUCCGGGCAGAGGAAGAUAACGCUUUUUAAUUGAAGAAAUUUUUUAAUUAAAAAACAUUUUUUUGACGGCUUCUUGUUGAGCAGGGCUACCCCACAGGCCAUGUGCCUAGAGUGGCCUUAAUUGAAAUUUUUGUUACAAUCAUUGUAGAUUCCUGUACAGUUAUAAGAAAUAAAACAGCCGGGCGUGGUGGCUCAUGCCUGUAAUCCCAGCACUAUGGGAGGCCGAGACGGGCGGAUGACGAGGUCAGGAGAUUGAGACCAUCCUGGCUAACACGGUGAAGCCCCGCCUCUACUAAAAAUACAAAAAAUUAGACGGGCGAGGUGGCGGGCGCCUGUAGUCCCAGCUACUCGGGAGGCUGAGGCAGGAGAAUGGUGUGAACCCAGGAGGCGGAGCUUGCAGUGAGCCAAUAUCGUGCCACUGCACUCCAGCCUGGGCGACAGAGCGUCUCCAAAAAAAAAAAAAAAAAAAGAAGAAAUAAAACAGAGAGGCUGGGCACAGUGGCUCACGCGUGUAAUCCCAGCACUUUGGGAGGCCGAGGCAGGUGGAUCACCCAGCCUGGGCAACAAGAGGGAAACUUCAUCUCAAAAUAACAACAACAACAAAAAAGAAAACAGAGGGAUCCCAGGUACCCGCCUUCACUCAGUUUCCCCAAUGGUAACAUCUCGCAGAACUACUGGGCGCCAUCACAGCCGGGGUCUGACUGCUCUUGCUCAGGUUUCCCCGGUUUUCCGUAUCCUCACGUGUGUGUAUUUACUUCUGUGCAAUUUUAUCGCAGGCCAAGGCAGGCGUGAGCCACUGCACCUGGCCCCAUCUUUCUACAACUGGGAAAAUUCUGAGUUCUGGAACCAUCUGCCCAGGGAUUUGGGGUCAGAGAUGGUGGGCCUUUCUGAUCCUGGUCUUUGCCAUGGUUAUGAUUGUGGCAUCCCUGCCUGUCUUCUAUCAUGUGCCUCAGCCUGUUUUUUUUCCUUUGCCAGGCUGCAAGCCCCUGAUAUCAGACUAACAGGAGCACAACAUUGCACGGUCUAAAGACACUACAUUAGGGUGAAAUUUUGUUCUUCUAUCUUCCCCCCUUGCAUGGAGAGGACCCUCAUUCCUGCCCCCACCCUCGCUUCACUGUGCCAGGCACAGGCAGAGCCCAGGUGCUGCCUCUGCUUGUCUGCAGUUGCCGACGAGGCCUGCGCUGAGCAUUUUGGCAAGUCUGGAGAAUUGAAGGCCCAGGCCCUUGGCCCUAUCACCGCAAUGCAGGCCCAGAGGUGGCAGGCGGGAGCUCACCGAUGGAUCUGCCAGUGUCAGUCCCAGAGCGGACCCCAGAAGUGUUCAGGCGUGGACUCGCACUGUCUGACAUUUCCAUCGAUGGCCUGCAUGAGGAAUGGGCGGUGAGCAUCCUCCUUCCAUCUCCAGCUGGGGGUGGAGGGUGUGAGCCUGCCCGCCGAGAGGAAGCCAGUUACAGAAUCAAAAUGACUCAGGCUGGGCUCUGUGGUGCGUGUCUGCAGUCCCAGCUGCUCUGGAGGCUGAGGCAGGAGAACUGCUCUAGUCCAGGAGUUCGAGGCUGCAGUAUGCUAUGAUCAUGCCUGUAAGUAGCCACUGCACUCCAGCCAGGGUAACACAGCGAGACCUUGCUUCUGAAAAACAAAAACAAAAUGACUCACAGAAAGGCGGAGUGGCCAGAAAUCAGGGACUGGGAACCUGUGGGGGAAGAAAAAUCACUCAGCAGUGGUCUCCUCCCAGCCUUCCUGCCUCCAAGUUUGCCCCUCUAAUCCGUCUUACAGAGCUUCCAGCUUAAUCGUUCCAAUUAAUCCUCCUACCUGAGCCAGCAAACCUUCGCUGUUGCUCCUACUUGCUUCCAAAGGCAGUUCAGUGUCUGGCCCCACUGUCUUUCCAGGGUGUCCUCCUCCUCCCGGAACACAACUGGCUGCCCACCGGCUGGGCGCGGUGGCUCACGCCUGUAAUCCCAGCACUUUGGGAGGCCAAGGCCGACAAUCACCUGAGGUCGGGAGUUCGACACCAGCCUGGCCAACAUGGUGAAACCCUGUCUCUACAAAAAAUAUAAAAAUUGACCGGGCACGGUGGCUCAUGCCUGUAAUCCCAGCACUUUGGGAGGCCGAGGCCUUGGGUGGAUCACAAGGUCAGGGGAUCGAGACCAUCCUGGCUAACACAGUGAAACCCCGUCUCUACUAAAAAAAAUACAAAAAAUUAGCUGGGUGUGGUGGCGGAUGCCUGUAGUCCCAGCUACUCGGGAGGCUGAGGCCGGAGAAUGGCAUGAACCCGCGAGGCGGAGCUUGCGGUGAGCCGAGAUCGGGGCCACUGCACUCCAGCCUGGGCGACAGAGCAAGACUCCGUCUCAAAAAAAAAAAACAAAAAACGAAACAAAACAAAACAAAAAACAAAACAAACAAACAAAAAUUAACAGGGCAUGGUGACACACGUCUGUAAUCUCAGCUACUUGAGAGGCUGAGGCAGGAGAAUCGCUUGAACCUGGGAGGCGGAGGUUGCAGUGAGCCGAGAUCACACCACUGUACUCCAGCCUGGUGACAGAGUGAGACUCCGUCUGAAAAAAAAAAAAAAAAAAAAGAAAGCCUUUGUCCAUGCUGUUCUCUCUGUCUGGAACAGCAUCACACUUGCAGGCCAGCUCCACAUCAGAGGAGACCCUCUUUCUACAACUCUUGAGGGCCUCUCCAGUCCUCCAGCCCCACUCCAUUCCACAUCCUCACAGUCAACACAGCCCCACUUGCCUGGACUCUCAGAGCAGUCUCCCAAUAGGCCUCCCUGCCUGGGGAUAAGUCCCAGCUCUCAACCUGGCACUCGACGGCCUUCCUGAUCAGCUGGGCUCCAGCCUCGUGAUUCCCACCCACUGUUUGACCUGACACAGCUGCUUAAGUUUCUCUAGUUCUUCUAGAUUACCCUGUUCUCCCACUUUGAGACCUUCUUAUGUGUAGAUUUCCUCUUCCUGGAGCACUUUUCCCUCCCCUCUUGGCCCGCCUAACUUUUACUCAUCUGUCAGGAAGCCAUGUUGAUUCCACCUCCUCCAGGAAGCCUUCUUGGAUUUAGGGUCCCUCCUGUUGGCUCCCAGAGGUCCCAUAUCCCUUGCAUCAUCACAAUUCCUCCUCCAGAUUGAAGCUGGCUGCUUUGCCAGUCUCCUCUAGGCCAUGGUCUCCUGAGGACAGAGCCACACAUUGGCCUCUGUCUCCCCCAGCUUGAUCAGGGCAGGAGGUGCCCAAGAAAGCCCAGAAGGAAGGAGUGGGAAAUGGUCCCGCACAUGUAUUGAGCUCCCGCUCCACAGUGAGCCUUUUACUUGCAGCCCAGUAGCCUGGAUGGCUCGGCCUUUCUGACAUGGAGUUAGGUCACCAUCUGGUCACAGCCUGCAGCCCCAAGCUCUUCUCUUUUCAUCUAGAUAGUGGGCAUAACCCUGGAUCUUAACAGCCUGUGAGAUGCAAGGAAACACCAGACGCCAAGGGCUCAUCCCAGUCCCGGGUAGAUGAUUUUAAGCAUUUCGUGUUCCUAUCAUUGGUCGUUAUUGGGGCUCUGGAGCCAACCUCUGUGGCUUCAAAUCUUGGCUUCUCCUCUCCUGGCUGGGUGACUUUGGGCAAGUUACUUAACCCCUCUGUGCCUCAGUUUCCUCAUCUGUAAAAUGGAACUAAUCAUAAGCUCAUUUUCUCUGUUUCUCAGGGCCCUGGAGAGGAUUAUAACAAUUGAUAUGCAUGCAGAGUUUGCACAGCACUUGGUGCAAGGGCUGGGCAAAUGCUGGCUGUGGUUGUUAUUAUCUCGGGGUCACCCUGAGCAUCUGAUACCAGUGAGGAGACUCUGGCUUCUGGGGAAUCUUCCAGAGCUGCAGAUCUGAGCCUGGCAGGAGGAACUCUUAGACCUUGUGAAGACUGAAUUCCUGUCCCCUGAAGCUCUUGAAACCAUCCCAUCCAUGUCUGCCGGUCAGAGUCACCAGGAAGUUCUUCCUUGUAUCUAUCCUAAGUCUUUCCUGCGUUGAUUUCUCUGGGUUCCCAUCCAGGCCGGAUAGGAAGACGAGGGAAGGAGCCUUAAGGGUGUCUCAAGCAUCAAUCCCAGAACUUCCCAGCUCAGCUCAGAAGCCAGCAAUGUGAGUCUCUGGCUCCUAGGGGGCCAAGAGCCAGGAGGGGAGGGUUUGCCUGGCUCAGUCUCCUUCGAAGGUCUCCCAGCCACAGCCAGAUGCAAAACCACCUUUGUUCCCUGAAUUUCAGGCCGUGGGAGGGAAUGGGGCCAGCGCCUGGGGUGCGGCUGGGGAGGGAGGAAGAGAUGCAAGGAUUGAAAACUCGAGGGAGGCCUAGAGCAGCAGGGAGGCAGGACAGGGCACCCUGGGCAGCCAGAUAGGGGCAGGGGUGUGGGAAACAGAGGGCGCAGAGCAGGGGCCAGCGGGGCUGGGAAUAGGAGCCUCGGGGAGGCCGGUGAGGCGCGGAGAGGGAGGCCUCAUACCAGACACUGUCU
rnacentral:lncRNA from 1 species